UGCAAUCUGUGAUGCAAGUAUUCCCAUUUCUUGAAUCGCAAUGAUUAUUACAAUCAAAAUCACCAUCUUUCGGUUGAGAUUGUA